rnacentral:rRNA from 1 species
UACGAAGGGUGCAAGCGUUACUCGGAAUUACUGGGCGUAAAGCGUGCGUAGGUGGUUUGUUAAGUCUGUUGUGAAAGCCCCGGGCUCAACCUGGGAAUGGCAUUCGGGACUGCAAGGCUGGAGUGCGGCAGAGGAGACUGGAAUUCCUGGUGUAGCAGUGAAAUGCGUAGAUAUCAGGAGGAAUACCGAUGGCGAAGGCAGGUCUCUGGGCUGACACUGACGCUCAUGCACGAAAGCGUGGGGAGCAAACAGG